ACCCGCACAAGCGGUGGAUGAUGUGGUUUAAUUCGAUGCAACGCGAAAAACCUUACCCACCUUUGACAUGGCAGGAAUCCCGAAGAGAUUUGGGAGUGCUCGAAAGAGAACCUGCACACAGGUGCUGCAUGGCUGUCGUCAGCUCGUGUCGUGAGAUGUUGGGUUAAGUCCCGCAACGAGCGCAACCCUUGCCAUUAGUUGCUACGAAAGGGCACUCUAAUGGGACUGCCGGUGACAAACCGGAGGAAGGUGGGGAUGACGUCAAGUCCUCAUGGCCCUUAUAGGUGGGGCUACACACGUCAUACAAUGGCCGGUACAGAGGGUAGCCAACCCGCGAGGGGGAGCCAAUCCCACAAAGCCGGUCGUAGUCCGGAUCGCAGUCUGCAACUCGACUGCGUGAAGUCGGAAUCGCUAGUAAUCGCGGAUCAGCAUGUCGCGGUGAAUACGUUCCCGGGCCUU
rnacentral:rRNA from 1 species